rnacentral:rRNA from 1 species
AAUGAACGUUGGCGGCGUGGAUUAGGCAUGCAAGUCGAACGCCAAAGAGGGGCAACUCUCGAGUAGCGUGGCGAAAGGGGCAGUAACACAUAGGCAACCUACCCUCAGGACUGGGAUAUGCGGUGGAAACGCCGAGUAAUACUGGACGUGGUUUUUGGGAGACAUCUCCUGUUAAUCAAAGGGUUUACUCCGCCUGGGGAGGGGCUUAUGUCCUAUCAGCUAGUUGGUGAGGUAACGGCCCACCAAGGCGACGACGGGUAGGGGGUGUGAGAGCACGACCCCCGCCACUGGCACUGAGACACUGGCCAGACUCCUACGGGAGGCUGCAGUCGAGAAUCUUCGGCAAUGGGCGCAAGCCUGACCGAGCGACGCCGCGUGGAGGAAGAAGGUCUUCGGAUUGUAAACUCCUGUUGGGGGGAAUCAAUUCAAUGAGAGAACCCCUGAGGAAGCACGGGCUAAGUUCGUGCCAGCAGCCGCGGUAAGACGAACCGUGCAAACGUUAUUCGGAAUCACUGGGAC